rnacentral:rRNA from 1 species
UACGUAGGGUGCAAGCGUUAAUCGGAAUUACUGGGCGUAAAGCGUGCGCAGGCGGCUUUGCAAGACAGAUGUGAAAUCCCCGGGCUUAACCUGGGAACUGCAUUUGUGACUGCAUGGCUGGAGUGCGGGCAGAGGGGGAUGGAAUUCCGCGUGUAGCAGUGAAAUGCGUAGAUAUGCGGAGGAACACCGAUGGCGAAGGCAAUCCCCUGGGCCUGCACUGACGCUCAUGCACGAAAGCGUGGGGAGCAAACAGG